UGAACCUGCGGAGGAUAUUAGUGAAUUAAACAUGCUUGGUGUCUUCGCUUCGGCAAGGCCCUUGCUUAAAUCACAUCCUAACACCUGUGAACUGUAAGACGUAUGAUGAGGUCUUUGGCCAAGUCAUCGUCUGCCCAUUUUUAACAAACAAUUAAUGUAACAAACGUAGUCUUAUUAUAACCUAAUAAAACUUUCAACAACGGAUCUCUUGGCUCUCGCAUCGAUGAAGAACGCAGCGAAAUGCGAUAAGUAAUGUGAAUUGCAGAAUUCAGUGAAUCAUCGAAUCUUUGAACGCACCUUGCGCUCUUUGGUAUUCCGAAGAGCAUGCCUGUUUGAGUGUCAUGAAAAUAUCAACCUUGACUUGGGUUUUGUGCUCUAGUCUUGGCUUGGAAUUGGGUGCUUGCCGCUUUUACGAGCGGCUCACCUUAAAUGUAUUAGCUGGAUCUGUCUUUGAGACUUGGUUUGACUUGGCGUAAUAAGUAUUUCGCUAAGGACAUUCUUCGGAGUGGCCUCGUUUCUAGGACGCUUGUCCGCUUCCCAAUACAAGUUCCACCUCGUGGACAUGACUUUUUUUAUUAUCUGGCCUCAAAUCAGGUAGGACUACCCGCUGAACUUAA
rnacentral:rRNA from 1 species